GAUGAACGCUAGCUACAGGCUUAACACGUGCAAGUCGAGGGGCAGCAUGAACAAAGCUUGCUUUGUUUGAUGGCGACCGGCGCACAGGUGAGUAACACGUAUCCAACCUGCCCAUAACUCAGGGAUAGCCUUUCGAAAGAAAGAUUAAUACUUGAUAGUAUAUUUUAGCCGCAUGGUUUUAAUAUUAAAGAUUUAUUGGUUAUGGAUGGGGAUGCGUUCCAUUAGGUAGUAGGUGAGGUAACGGCUCACCUAGCCAUCGAUGGAUAGGGGUUCUGAGAGGAAGGUCCCCCACAUUGGAACUGAGACACGGUCCAAACUCCUACGGGAGGCAGCAGUGAGGAAUAUUGGUCAAUGGCCGGAAGGCUGAGCCAGCCAAGUAGCGUGAAGGAUGACUGCCCUAUGGGUUGUAAACUUCUUUUAUAUGGGAAUAAAAGACAUUACGUGUAGUGUUUUGUAUGUACCUUAUGAAUAAGCAUCGGCUAAUUCCGUGCCAGCAGCCGCAGUAACAC
rnacentral:rRNA from 1 species